rnacentral:lncRNA from 1 species
GCCGCGACUUUGCACCGCCGCCGCAUCUGCUGUCGGAGCGCGGGAGCCUGGGCCAUCGCGGCGCCGCGGCCGCGCGCCUCGCCCCGUCUGGUCCCGCCACGCAGCCGUCAGCGCACUUCCAGCCGGGGAAAUACUUCCCAUCGCCUCUGCCCAUGGCUUCGCACACAGCCAGCAGCCGCCUGAUGGGAAAUUCUCCAGCCUCCUCUUUUAUGGGCAGCUUCCUCACCGGCAGCCUGGGCUCGGCAGCUUCCACGCACCCCAGCGGCCCCACCUCUGCCCCCUCUGAGCAGGCCUACCGAGGCUCCCACCCUGGCACCUCCCAGAUCUGGUUCUCCCACUCCCAUGAAGCUCCGGCGUACCCCAGAUUUUCGGGGAGUCUGGCAUCCACUUUCCUACCCGUGAGCCACUUGGAUCACCAUGGAAACAGUAAUGUUCUCUGCGGGCAGCAUCGUUUCUAUGGAACCCAAAAAGAUAACUUCUACCUGCGCAACCUGCCCCCGCAGCCCACGCUCCUGCCUGCCAACCACAACUUCCCUGGUGUGGCCCGGACUGCGCCUGCUCACCCCAUCGGCUCCUGCAGCCGUGACCGGGCUGAGGCUGGGCCCUCUCAGAAAGGCCCCAAGGAGUUUGACGGCUUCCUCAUGGGCAAAGAAAUGGGCAAAGAGAAGGCCAGCAAGGUGGCAGAAGGCAGGGAGCGACCGGCAGCAGAGGAGGACAGCAGCAAGGAGCGGCCCAAGCUGGUGCCCAUGCCAGCUGAUGGGCCCUGCAAAGAGGGUGGCCCAGUGCCCCGGGGCUCCUGUGAGGGCCGCCCCAAACACCCCGCCUCCUGCCUCCUCAACGCCAAGGUGCUCAAUGACGACCUGGGCAAGGCCCCACUGGCCAGCUGCACAGGGGCUGUGCUGGGCCGGCCUGGCGUCAGCGUGGCAGCCUCUGGACGCUGCGCCAAGGAGCCAGUGGGCCACACAGAGCCCGGGCCAGCCUUCAGCGAGUGCCUGGAGCGGCGACAGAUGCUGCACCACACGGUCCCCUACACGGUGCCCUCUGGCCUGCCCACCGGGCCACCCCCGCCCCUCAGCACGGCCUCUGGCUCCUUCCCCUGCCUGCAGCUGCACGCGGGCCCAGAUGGGCUCUGUCCACUGCAAGACAAGGUCCCCCGAGACCUCAAGGCCAGCAGGCCCACCUUUGUGCCUUCUGUGGGACACCUGGCCGAUAAGAGCCGCCCCUUCCAGGCAGCUGAGGCCUGUGCUGUGGCAGGGGAGGGCAAGGACCGACACCUAGACGGGGCGAUGGCCCCUGACCACGUUGUGCCCUAUGGGGUCUCCUAUGCCCACCUGAAGGCCGAGGGCAAGGUCGAGCGGCGACCUGGAGGCUUUGAGGCAGCCCUGAACCCCCGACUGAAGGGCCUGGAGUAUCUCAGCACUGGCCCCGAGGCCCCCUUUCCUGGACUCCCCAAAGCCAGUCUGGAUAAAAGUGGCUACUUCGAGUUGCCUGCCCCUUCCCAGGACUGUGCUCGGCCCCCUCACCAGGACCCACUGGGCGGGAAAGCCACCCAGGCCUGCUGCACUUUAGACAAAGCCGUCAACAAGGAGGCUCCCGCCGGUGCCCCCGGGGGCCAGAAGGUGGCCCGGAUCCGGCAUCAGCAGCACUUGGUGGCCCCUGAAGUUGAGCCCGGAGGCAGCGGGGCUGAGGCCAAGCGUAAGUCCCUGGAGCUGGCGUCUCUGGGCUAUGGCGGGCCUCACUUGCCCCCCUGGAGCAUCCAGGCGGGUCAGGCCACCACCAUGGCCAUCAGUGAGGAGCGCAAGGGCAGUGCCUACCUGGACCCCUUCGGCAGUGGCCUGCAGCAGGCAGCCCUCCUGCCCCAGGAGCUGCCUACCCCACCGGACGAGGUCUCCGCCAUGAAGAACCUGCUUAAAUAUAGCAACCAGGCCCUCGUGGUGGGCCAGAAGGCUCCCUUCGUGGGUCUGGGUGGCCUCAAAGCCAGCUGUAGUCCAGCNNNNNNNNNNNNNNNNNNNNNNNNGAGCACGACACCCCACACGGAGAUGGGGAGGUGCGGCAGCCCCCUGUGGGCAUCGCAGUGGCCUUGGCCCGGCAGAAAGACACAGCGAGCCGGCCCGAGACGGGCUAUGGCACUAACAGUGGGCGGCAGGGCCGGGCAGCCACCGCCUUCAAAGCUGGUGGGGGCCCCCGAGCCACACAUGCGCUGGACCUGGAGAGUGAGGAGGAGAAGACGAGGCUGUGUGAUGAGCGCCUGGGCCUGGCCGGCCGUGAGCUGCUGCUACAGGACAACAAAGACCUCGUGGAAUUUGCCCGGAUCCAUCCCUCAAGCAGCUGCCCCGGAGACCUGGCCCCCCACCUCAUGAUGCAGGGGGGCCAGCUGGGCAGGGACCCAGCC